UACGUAGGGGGCAAGCGUUAUCCGGAUUCACUGGGUGUAAAGGGAGCGCAGACGGCGAUGCAAGCCAGGAGUGAAAGCCCGGGGCCCAACCCCGGGACUGCUCUCGGAACUGCGUGGCUGGAGUGCAGGAGGGGCAGGCGGAAUUCCUGGUGUAGCGGUGAAAUGCGUGGAUAUCAGGAGGAACACCGGUGGCGAAGGCGGCCUGCUGGACUGCAACUGACGUUGAGGCCCGAAAGCGUGGGGAGCAAACAGG
rnacentral:rRNA from 1 species